UAGUAGUUUUGCUGAUAGUUGCCCACCUCUUCCUACAUAAUUACUGAUUUCCAUUGGAUUGUGGGGUGUGCUUUUUUUGUGACCUUAUUUUUGACAUAUCUUUUCAAUCCGUGGGGGAUUAUUUGAUGAUUCUCCUUUGUUAGUCCUUUCUCUCUCAUUUCCUUAGAGUUCUGAUUAAAGGGAAAAUGUGGAGGUUUCAUUGGGAAUGGGGGCAGAUUGGUUCCUAUGUGUAGCCAACAGCUUUCAGUCUUACUGAGGACAGAAAGCCAUCCCACACAGAUCAAUAUUUUAAUGUGACUUAUCAGACUGGCUUGUUUACUUAAAAACUCCAGAUCCCAUAAAGGCCAAGGGAGACUCAGUUUUGGAAACAGACUCUCUGAAACCCUGUCAUAGUACUGUAACUGUACAAGAAUGAAAACUUAAAGCUAAGACCAUCAGAAGCACAAUCUACUGUUUCGCACUUGAGAGAAAAACCAAAGGCAACAGAAAUUUAAAGAGCAAAUAACUACAAGACAAAAGAAACCAAGAGCAUGCUGCAGUUAUGUGGGAUGUGUGCCUCAAGACCAGUGACUGACUCUUCUGAGAGAUCCAUUCAGACCAAACGAGAAAGACAAGAUGAAUCUCUCAAUACAUUUUAAAUUUAUAUGUUGGAUACAGAUUGGCAUUAGUGCAUUCAAAUAAGCAAAACUCUCCUGAUUUAUUCUUCUCUGGCUCCUCUUGAAGGUAAUCUUUGCAUAAAAAGUGAUAUUUGCACCCAUUAUUUUUUAUGCCACUCAGUAAUAUACAAUAUUGGGAAAUUUACCUCAAAUUGAUUAGACUGGUCUUGCUGCUAUUGAUUAUGGUUCAAAUGAAACAACAUUUUCAGUGAUAGCACUGCAAUCCUUUCAAUAAAAUUCACACCAGUUCCCAUGUAAUACAUACAAAAACCAGUAAUCGUCUGAGAAAUGAUGAAGAUGGCCAAAAUUGUUCAAGAUAUCAGGUUGAAUGUCAGGUUUGGUCAAAAUUGUUUAAUAAAUAUUCAUUCUUGUUUAAUUGUUUAAUAAAUAUUCAUUCUUGUUUAA